UACGUAGGGGGGCAAGCGUUGUCCGGAUUUAUUGGGCGUAAAGAGCGUGUAGGCGGCCUGACAGGUCUGCUGUGAAAACUCGAGGCUCAACCUCGAGAUGUCGGCGGAAACCGUCUGGCUAGAGUCCGGAAGAGGAGAGUGGAAUUCCUGGUGUAGCGGUGAAAUGCGCAGAUAUCGGGAGGAACACCAGUGGCGAAGGCGGCACUCUGGGCCGGUACUGACGCUGAGACGCGAAAGCGUGGGGAGCAAACAGG
rnacentral:rRNA from 1 species